rnacentral:rRNA from 1 species
UGCGCAGGCGGCCGUGUGUGUGAGGCGUGAAAGCCUGGAGCUCAACUCCAGAAUUGCACCUCAAACUACACGGCUAGAGCAUUGGAGAGGGUAGCAGAAUUCACGGUGUAGCAGUGAAAUGCGUAGAUAUCGUGAGGAAUACCAGAGGCGAAGGCGGCUACCUGGACAAUUGCUGACGCUCAGGCACGAAAGCGUGGGGAGCAAAAGGGAUUAGAUACCCCUGUAGUCCACGCCCUAAACGGUGCACACUAGGUCUUGGAGGAUUCGACCCCUUCAGGGCCCAAGCUAACGCGUUAAGUGUGCCGCCUGAGGACUACGGCCGCAAGGCUAAA